GACGAACGCUGGCGGCGUGCUUAACACAUGCAAGUCGAACGGAAAGGCCCUGCUUUUGUGGGGUGCUCGAGUGGCGAACGGGUGAGUAACACGUGAGUAACCUGCCCUUGACUUUGGGAUAACUUCAGGAAACUGGGGCUAAUACCGGAUAGGAGCUCCUGCUGCAUGGUGGGGGUUGGAAAGUUUCGGCGGUUGGGGAUGGACUCGCGGCUUAUCAGCUUGUUGGUGGGUAGUGGCUUACCAAGGCUUUGACGGGUAGCCGGCCUGAGAGGGUGACCGGCCACAUUGGGACUGAGAUACGGCCCAGACUCCUACGGGAGGCAGCAGUGGGGAAUAUUGCACAAUGGGCGGAAGCCUGAUGCAGCAACGCCGCGUGCGGGAUGACGGCCUUCGGGUUGUAAACCGCUUUCGCCUGUGACGAAGCGUGAGUGACGGUAAUGGGGAAAGAAGCACCGGCUAACUACGU
rnacentral:rRNA from 1 species